GACUGAACUGACAGCCCAAAACUGAAGUUUAAGGCCCGCUUGGCUAUGAAUGCAAAAUUUCACUAGUCAAAUUUGAAUCUCAACAGUGCUGAAAAGCUGUGGUCUGCAUAUAAAGUGACUGGUGGUGUGUGCACGGGAGUGGUGGGGGCAGGCGCUGUCGCACGAGGACACAACAGACGCCUCAGGAGUCUGACUGUAGACAGAGCCGCGUUUGACUCUCAAGUCUGCUGCUUCCUAACCAUGUGGUGCUGGGUGAGGGGUGUGGGAGCUUUUUAAGAUCUUUGAUCGGAGCUGGGUCACUCUGGAGUGAAUCUGGGAUGGGGGCUGGGCUGCUUCCCACAGCAUUCGGCCGGGAGACACACUCACUUGAGAACCAGACCUUCUGCCCUCCAGCUGUCUGCAGCGAGGCGAGGCCCAGGAUGUGGAAUGCCUGCCUCCCCUGAGGCUGCCUUCUGGUCUCUGGCUUUGAUUCUGAUUCACAAAUAUUCCCUCAGCACCUCCCAUGGAUGUCACACACCCAUGCAGGGUUAAGACACAGUCAGGGAUGAUGAUUUUAAAAAAAGACAAAAAGGGGAAAAAAAGAAGACAUCAAGGAAAAAGAAGUGGGAAAAAAAAAAGGAGCAGAGAAA